rnacentral:miRNA from 1 species
UCGUGGGAUUUAUGCAGUUAA